GCGGGGAAAGGGGCCUCGCCGCGGGAGGACCCGCCUGGUGUCGGCAACAUGGCAGCGUCCAGCCGGGCCCAGGUGCUGCGGCUGUACCGGGCCAUGCUGCGGGAGAGUCAGCGCUUCAGCGGCUACAACUACAGAAUGUAUGCCAUCAGAAGGAUAAGAGAUGCCUUCAGAGAAAACAAGAAUAUAAAGGAUUCUGAAAAAAUAGAAGAGCUAGUGAAUAAAGCCAAAGCAAAUCUAGAGGUUAUUCAUCGGCAGGUGAUUCUUCAGUUACAUAUAUGACAAAGUUUAAGGCUUGCUGAAUAUGAAGACCUUUUUUGGUGUUGGGUUCUGCUACAUGACAUUCUUCGUUGUCAAAAGACUGACUCUUUGCUCUCCUAUGACAUCCCAAUAUUUAGCAUGCUAGUGAGACUCUGAAUUCUUGUAGACCAAAUUAUGGAAAGUCAGAUCAAAAGGAAGUUUUUAUUUAUGGGUCUUUCCUGUAUUCCCUACUGGAUCUAGGAAGGAUCUUGUUCUAACGUCGUGGAAGAAAAUACUGCUUUGGGAAUAGGUUACCAUUGGCCAACUAUAUUCCACGCAGAAAUUGGUUAUUGAGAGUCCAGGAAACACAUAGCUAUAAGAAGACUCUGAUCCUGAAGCAACACUGGACCAUCUUCAGCAUCCUACAGUGCCACAUUCAGAUGCAUAAACCCACUGCACAUGUCUGAGCUUUUCUGUUCAGCAGAAGAAAUGCUUGAGAGACUCUGUUUUUGGGAACCAAAGUACUAUUUUCUAAUGGUUCACAUGUUCUAAAAUAUGUUGCUGUGAUUUAUAAAAGGAUGUAAGGUAGUCUUGAAAUCUGUUUGCUUGUAUGUCCCACGUGAUGAAAUAGUUUCUGCCCUACUUUGACAAUAAAACUCAUUAAACUACCUGUAACCAGAUACAUUAUUCUGCUGAUGACCUUUUCUCUCACUGAGCAUGAAAGAUGUGUUAGAUUUAAAACCCCUCACCCAGUUACUAAGUUUUUAUUGAUCCUGUUCCUUUAAAAAUAUACAGCAUCUGAAUUACAUGACUAAAUACAUAGUCCAUUUUAAAUAUUAAAACCAGAGAUGAACAGAGUUUUUGUCUCCUGGACCUUGAUACUUACAGAUAUCCCAAACUGCAUCAUGUGGUUUCUUUAAAGAGCAUCCCUUGACAUUUCAGGAGGUGACAUAAAAAUUUCACUAGUUCUUUCUUUAGUUUCCAAGAGUUAAUAACCAGUCUCAUCCACCUUUUAACAAUUAACAGAUCAGACUAGCAGAAUGUAAGACUUGCAUCACCGAGACCUGGGAGCUUUAAAAUAUAUUUUCACCACCCAGUCCUUUUCUAAAUUUGUUGAGGUGCAGCUAUUAGCAGAAAGCACCACAUCACUUUAUGCAAGGUUUCCCUUUUUCACAAGGUCCUGAAUUUUGCAGGAGAAAAAGAACCUCAUUGUGACAAUAACUCAAAUGCUGUAAGUCAUAAUUUGGCAGCAAGUUUUGCCUAGCAAAAGUGGAACACUCAGUAUAGCGUUCUAUUGCUUAUUAUUAGAUCUGUAGAAUAAUCAACACUUUUAAGACAAUAGGAUAAACAAAAGCAAGCAAAAAUUUUGAUCAGGUUCUGUUCAAGUCAUCGCUGUGCUUGAAUUUGUUUUCUAUUAGAAAUUUGCAAAAAUUUAAGCCGUGCAAAGCUUUUUUAAUGGCAUACAUCAAAAAAAAAAGCUUUUUUAUUUCAGGGACUUGUUGUGGGGUUUUUUUAAGAAGAGAAACUCGAAACUAGUUCCAUGACACUGUGGCCUUUAAAAACCUCCCCUUAUUUUUCUUGCUUUGCAAAAUUCAUCUUUGUUUAGAACUUCUGUUGUUUUGUGUUGUUCAUGCUGUGUGAUAACAUUAUUAAAGCAGAGGAUGGACAAAGUGUCUAAUUUAGAACAAACUCCCAUUCCUACUACCAUUUAAAGUGUGUUUUAUAAUUUUGUACAGUUAGAUUGAAAUGUAUACUAAUGCAUUCCGUUAAUGAUAUAGUGUACAGAAUAAGAUACUGUGACUUGAGACUCAAAUGUAGCCUCCAUUCUCACCUUCAAAUAAAAGGCACAUACAGUCAUAAUUCUCCUCGGAUUAGGUGUGUAAGUAUUGCCAUGUAAAUUGCUUUUAAUGAACAUUUUAUUAAAAUGGCAUUUAAUUAUUCUAAUAGGUAAAAUACAUUAUAUUCUGUACUUUAAAUCUCCCCGUUCACAACUGGAUAAUUAAGUUAAUGGUGAAAGUGUAGGGGAAUAAAGGUUUGAUUACUAUUUAAGCUUCCAGCGAACUCAAAGAAACAUAAUAACAUCUUACACUUCUAGAGGACACAGGUUUGGAAGGGCUGCCAGUUUUAUACUCUAAGGAACUUGGUCUCUUAAAUAGUACAUGCAAAAUCCUUGUUUAAAACAGCUUAAUUAGUGGAACAAGCACUGCAUACCAAUUCAAGAUCUGAGAAUGUAUGCUAGGAAACAAAAUAAACAUCCUUAUAAAUAGUGUAACUGUAAUUUAUGGAAAAGGACGAGUCCAUCAGUAACAUUUUUACUAUUUAGAUCUAAGU